AUUGAACGCUGGCGGCAUGCUUUACACAUGCAAGUCGAACGGCAGUGCGGGCUUCGGCCUGGCGGCGAGUGGCGAACGGGUGAGUAAUGCAUCGGAACGUGCCCAGUAGUGGGGGAUAGCCCGGCGAAAGCCGGAUUAAUACCGCAUACGACCUGAGGGUGAAAGCAGGGGACCGAAAGGCCUCGCGCUAUUGGAGCGGCCGAUGUCGGAUUAGCUAGUUGGUGGGGUAAAGGCUUACCAAGGCGACGAUCCGUAGCUGGUCUGAGAGGACGACCAGCCACACUGGGACUGAGACACGGCCCAGACUCCUACGGGAGGCAGCAGUGGGGAAUUUUGGACAAUGGGGGCAACCCUGAUCCAGCCAUGCCGCGUGCGGGAAGAAGGCCUUCGGGUUGUAAACCGCUUUUGUUCGGGAAGAAAUCCUCUGGGCUAAUACCCCGGGGGGAUGACGGUACCGGAAGAAUAAGCACCGGCUAACUACGUG
rnacentral:rRNA from 1 species